rnacentral:rRNA from 1 species
CCUACGGGGGUCAGCAGUGAGGAAUAUUGGUCAAUGGCCGCAGGGCUGAACCAGCCAAGUCGCGUGAGGGAUGACGGUCCUAUGGAUUGUAAACCUCUUUUGUCAGGGAGCAAAGGGCGCCACGUGUGGCGCUUUGCGAGUACCUGAAGAAAAAGCAUCGGCUAACUCCGUGCCAGCAGCCGCGGUAAUACGGAGGAUGCGAGCGUUAUCCGGAUUUAUUGGGUUUAAGGGGUGCGCAGGCGGAAUGUGAAGUCAGCGGUAAAAUUUCGGGGCUCAACCCCGUCGGGCCGUUGAAACUGGCGUUCUUGAGUGAGCGAGAAGUAUGCGGAAUGCGUGGUGUAGCGGUGAAAUGCAUAGAUAUCACGCAGAACUCCGAUUGCGAAGGCAGCAUACCGGCGCUCAACUGACGCUCAUGCACGAAAGCGUGGGUAUCGAACAGGAUUAGAUACCCGUGUAGUC